rnacentral:rRNA from 1 species
CCUACGGGAGACAGCAGUGAGGAAUAUUGGUCAAUGGCCGGAAGGCUGAACCAGCCAUGCCGCGUGAAGGUCAGUGCCCUAUGGGCGUUAAACUUCUUUUGUGCGGGAGCAAUAAUGGUCACGUGUGGCCAGACGAGAGUACCGUACGAAUAAGCAUCGGCUAACUCCGUGCCAGCAGCCGCGGUAAUACGGGGGAUGCCAGCGUUAUCCGGGUUUAUUGGGUUUAAAGGGUGCGUAGGCUGUGAGGUAAGUCAGCUGUGAAAUGCCCCCGCUCAACGGGGUGAAGUGCCAUUGAUACUGCCAUGCUGGAAUGCGGAUGCGGUAGGAGGAAUGCGUGGUGUAGCGGUGAAAUGCAUAGAUAUCACACAGAACACCGAUUGCGAAGGCAUCUCACGAAUCCGCGAUUGACGCUGAUGCACGAAAGCGUGGGUAUCAAACAGGAUUAGAUACCCCAGUAGUC